rnacentral:rRNA from 1 species
GUCCACGCCCUAAACUAUGGAUACUCGACAUUUGCGAUACACUGUAAGUGUCUGAGCGAAAGCAUUAAGUAUCCCACCUGGGAAGUACGAUCGCAAGAUUGAAACUCAAAGGAAUUGGCGGGGUCCGCACAAGCGGUGGAGCAUGUGGUUUAAUUCGAUGAUACGCGAGGAACCUUACCUGGGGCUAGAAUGCUGGGAGACCGUGGGUGAAAGCUCACUUUGUAGCAAUACACUGCCAGUAAGGUGCUGCAUGGCUGUCGU